rnacentral:pre_miRNA from 1 species
AAAAGACUUAAUUCUAGGUUUCCGUGUCCAACGAUUGACCGUUCGUCUUAUGUGAAAUUUUUUUAUGAUUAGUAUUUUUAUUAUUGUUAGAUGAUAAAACAUGAACAAUACUUUAUGCAUGAGUUAUCUUUUUAAUUUUUUUAUAUUUUUUUCAAAUAAGACGGACGGUCAAACGUUAGACACGGAAACCCAGGAAUUGAGUUUUU